UAGAGUUUGAUCCUGGCUCAGAUCCUACGCUGGCGGCAGGCCUAACACAUGCAAGUCGAGCGGCAGCGGGAAAGUAGCUUGCUACUUUUGCCGGCGAGCGGCGGACGGGUGAGUAAUGCCUGGGGAUCUGCCCAAUCGAGGGGGAUAACUACUGGAAACGGUAGCUAAUACCGCAUACGCCCUACGGGGGAAAGCAGGGGACCUUCGGGCCUUGCGCGAUUGGAUGAACCCAGGUGGGAUUAGCUAGUUGGUGAGGUAAUGUCUCACCCAGGCGACGAUCCCUAGCUGGACUGAAAGGAUGAUCAGCCACUCUGGAACUGAGACACGGUCCAGACUCCUACGGCAGGCAGCAGUGGCGUAUAUUGCACCAUCAGUGAAAACUUGUUGCCACCAUGCGCGAAGCGUGUGAAGAACACUUUCGGGUGAGAAAGCAAUUUUAGUGAGGAUUAAACGUCUGUUAUCGAAUGAAGUACCACAAUGUGACGUUCCUGAGGAAUGAAGCUCCGGUUAAUUCCUGUCCACGCAGCGCGCGGUAAUGCGGAGGGCGCAAGCUGUUCAUCGAAAUUUGUGGGUAUAAAGUGCAGCCAGGCGGUUUGUAUAAUUUAGAUGUGAAAACCCCGGGUUCAACUUGGGAAUUCGCAUUUAAAAUUCUCCGGUUGGAGUCUUGUAGAGGGGGGUAGAAUUCCAGUGUUAGCGGUGAAAUGCGUGGAUAUAUGGAGGACUACCGGUGGGGAAGGCGUCCCCUUGGACAAAGACUGCCGUUCAGGUGCGAAAGUGUGGGGAGCAAAC
rnacentral:rRNA from 1 species